rnacentral:misc_RNA from 1 species
AGCAGCCGCGGUAAUUCCAGCUCCAAUAGCGUAUAUUAAAGUUGUUGCAGUUAAAAAGCUCGUAGUUGAAUUUCGGGAUCAAUUUGCUGGUCGUGCCUCUGGUACGUACUGGUAUUAUUGGUUUCUCCCUUCUGACGAACCAUGAUGUCAUUAAUUUGAUGUCGUGGAGAAUCAGGACUGUUACUUUGAAAAAAUUAGAGUGUUUAAAGCAGGCAUUAGCUUGAAUACAUUAGCAUGGAAUAAUGAAAUAGGACGUUUGAUCCUAUUUUGUUGGUUUCUAGGAUUGACGUAAUGAUUAAUAGGGAUAGUUGGGGGCAUUAGUAUUCAAUUGUCAGAGGUGAAAUUCUUGGAUUUAUUGAAGACUAACUACUGCGAAAGCAUUUGCCAAGGAUGUUUUCAUUAAUCAAGAACGAAAGUUAGGGGAUCGAAGACGAUCAGAUACCGUCGUAGUCUUAACCAUAAACUAUGCCGACUAGGGAUCGGAUGAUGUUAAUUUUUAAUGACUCAUUC